UUUAAUGAUGAACAAUACGGAUGUGAACAAUCUCUGAGUAAAAUCAAACGAUUUUGCGUGGAUUAAAAAACCUGCCUUCCUACUGAUA
rnacentral:snoRNA from 1 species